rnacentral:rRNA from 1 species
UUUGAUCAUACCAGCUCGUCAAACCAUCAGAACCUACUCAAGGCUGGGCCUGGUCAGUACUUGGAUGGGAGACUGCCGGGAAUACCAGUUUCCACAAAG